UACGAAGGGGGCUAGCGUUGCUCGGAAUUACUGGGCGUAAAGGGCGCGUAGGCGGCACUGUUAGUCAGGUGUGAAAGCCCCGGGCUCAACCCGGGAAGUGCACUUGAAACUGGGAGGCUAGAGUAUCGGAGAGGUUGGUGGAAUUCUCGGUGUAGAGGUGAAAUUCGUAGAUAUCGAGAGGAACACCGGUGGCGAAGGCGGCCAACUGGACGAAUACUGACGCUGAGACUCGAAAGCGUGGGGAGCAAACAGG
rnacentral:rRNA from 1 species